UGUAACUGGUGCAUUCCAGAACUUCUUCCAUCGAGUCACAUAGAAAGGACGUUGGGGUUGUGGCUUUACACCAUGUGAUGAAACAUCUGUAGCAAAUAAUGGAGUGGGCUUUGAAAUGGAAUGAAUGAAGAAGCUAAAAGUAUGAAUCUAGCAAUGUCCACAUGCAAAUUAUAAAUCAUUUUUGGCUCCCCGGUGAUCAACAUGCACAAUACUGGGAUGUCAAUGCUACCUUUCCCUACAAACCCAAAAACUAAAG